UACGGGGGGGCAAGCGUUGUUCGGAAUUACUGGGCGUAAAGGGCGCGUAGGCGGCCUGCUAAGUCACACGUGAAAUCCCUCGGCUCAACCGGGGAACUGCGUGUGAUACUGGCGGGCUUGAAUUCGGGAGAGGGAUGUGGAAUUCCAGGUGUAGCGGUGAAAUGCGCAGAUAUCAGGAGGAACACCUAUUGCGAAGGCAGCUCGCUGGGACGUUACUGACGCUGAGACGCGAAAGCGUGGGGAGCAAACAGG
rnacentral:rRNA from 1 species